GACGUAGGGCGCAAGCGUUGUCCGGAUUUAUUGGGCGUAAAGCGCGCGUAGGCGGCCCGGUAAGUCCGCUGUGAAAGUCCAGGGCUCAACCCUGGAAAGCCGGUGGAUACUGCCGGGCUAGAGUCCGGAAGAGGCGAGUGGAAUUCCUGGUGUAGCGGUGAAAUGCGCAGAUAUCAGGAGGAACACCAAUGGCGAAGGCAGCUCGCUGGGGACGUGACUGACGCUGAGACGCGAAAGCGUGGGGGAGCAAACAGG
rnacentral:rRNA from 1 species